AUUUUGUACAAUGGGCGCAAGCCUGAUCCAGCCAUGCCGCGUGAGUGAAGAAGGCCUUCGGUCUGUAAAUCUCUUUUGGACGGAAAGAGAUCGCGCAGGCUAAUACCUUGCGCGGAUGACGUUACUGUUAUAAGAAGCACCGGCUAAUUACGUGCCAGCAGCCUCGGUAAUACGUAGUGUGCUAGCGUUAAUCGGAAUUACGGGGCGUAAAACGUGCGCAGGCGGUUGAUUAAGACAGGCGUGAAAUCCCCGGGCUUAACCUGGGAACUGCGCUUGUGACUGGUCAGCUAGAGUACGGCAGAGGGGGGUGGAAUUCCACGUGUAGCAGUGAAAUGCGUAGAGAUGUGGAGGAACACCGAUGGCGAAGGCAGCCCCCUGGGCCGAUACUGACGCUCAUGCACGAAAGCGUGGGUAGCAAACAG
rnacentral:rRNA from 1 species